rnacentral:rRNA from 1 species
AUUGAACGCUGGCGGCAGGCCUAACACAUGCAAGUCGAGCGAGCGGCGGACGGGUGAGUAAUGUAUGGGAAUCUGCCCGAUAGAGGGGGAUAACUACUGGAAACGGUGGCUAAUACCGCAUACUAUCGGAUUAACCCCUAUGGGAUUAGCUAGUUGGUGGGGUAAAGGCUUACCUAGGCGACGAUCCGUAGCUGGUCUGAGAGGAUGAUCAGCCACACUGGAACUGAGACACGGCCCAGACUCCUACGGGAGGCAGCAGUGGGGAAUAUUGGACAAUGGGCGCAAGCCUGAUGCAGACAUGCCGCGUGUAUGAAGAAGGCCUUAGGGUUGUAAAGUACUUUCAGCGGGGAGGCGUUACCAACAGAAGAAGCACCGGCUAACUCCGUGCCAGCAGCCGCGGUAAUAC